rnacentral:rRNA from 1 species
AUUGAACGCUGGCGGCAGGCCUAACACAUGCAAGUCGAACGGUAACAGGAAGCAGCUUGCUGCUUCGCUGACGAGUGGCGGACGGGUGAGUAAUGUCUGGGAAACUGCCUGAUGGAGGGGGAUAACUACUGGAAACGGUAGCUAAUACCGCAUAACGUCGCAAGACCAAAGAGGGGGACCUUAGGGCCUCUUGCCAUCGGAUGUGCCCAGAUGGGAUUAGCUAGUAGGUGGGGUAACGGCUCACCUAGGCGACGAUCCCUAGCUGGUCUGAGAGGAUGACCAGCCACACUGGAACUGAGACACGGUCCAGACUCCUACGGGAGGCAGCAGUGGGGAAUAUUGCACAAUGGGCGCAAGCCUGAUGCAGCCAUGCCGCGUGUAUGAAGAAGGCCUUCGGGUUGUAAAGUACUUUCAGCGGGGAGGAAGGGAGUAAAGUUAAUACCUUUGCACAUUGACGUUACCCGCAGAAGAAGCACCGGCUAACUCCGUG